rfam:Triticum aestivum genome assembly, contig: Triticum_aestivum_CS42_TGACv1_scaffold_379186_5AL
CUUCUACUCCCUCCGUCCCAAAAUACUUGUCGAAGUGAUGGAUAAAAUUGGACAUAUCUAUAACUAAAAUACGUCUAGAUUCAUCCAUUUCCCCCACAAGUAUUUCCGGAUGGAGGGAGUACAAA